rnacentral:rRNA from 1 species
AUUGAACGCUGGCGGCAUGCCUUACACAUGCAAGUCGAACGGCAGCACGGGAGCAAUCCUGGUGGCGAGUGGCGAACGGGUGAGUAAUAUAUCGGAACGUGCCCAGUCGUGGGGAUAACGUAGCGAAAGCUACGCUAAUACCGCAUACGAUCUAUGGAUGAAAGCGGGGGAUCGCAAGACCUCGCGCGAUUGGAGCGGCCGAUAUCAGAUUAGGUAGUUGGUGAGGUAAAGGCUCACCAAGCCGACGAUCUGUAGCUGGUCAGAGAGGACGACCAGCCACACUGGGACUGAGACACGGCCCAGACUCCUACGGGAGGCAGCAGUGGGGGAAUUUUUGGACAAUGGGCGCAAGCCUGAUCCAGCAAUGCCGCGUGCAGGAUGAAGGCCUUAGGGUUGUAAAGCUCUUUUUACCCGAGAUGAUAAUGACAGUAUCGGGAGAAUAAGCUCCGGCUAACUCCGUGCCAGCAGCCG